rnacentral:rRNA from 1 species
UACGAAGGGGGCUAGCGUUGCUCGGAAUCACUGGGCGUAAAGGGUGCGUAGGCGGGUCUUUAAGUCAGGGGUGAAAUCCUGGAGCUCAACUCCAGAACUGCCUUUGAUACUGAGGAUCUUGAGUUCGGGAGAGGUGAGUGGAACUGCGAGUGUAGAGGUGAAAUUCGUAGAUAUUCGCAAGAACACCAGUGGCGAAGGCGGCUCACCUGGCCCGAUACUGACGCUGAGGCACGAAAGCGUGGGGAGCAAACAGG